rnacentral:rRNA from 1 species
AUGAACGCUGGCGGCAUGCUUUAACAUGCAAGUCGAGCGGCAGCGCGGGGGCAACCCUGGCGGCGAGCGGCGAACGGGUGAGUAAUGCAUCGGAACGUGUCCCGUAGAGGGGGAUAGCCCGGCGAAAGCCGGAUUAAUACCGCGUACGCUCUACGGAGGAAAGCGGGGGACUUGGCAACAGGCCUCGCGCUAUGGGAGCGGCCGAUGUCCGAUUAGCUUGUUGGCGGGGUAAUGGCCCACCAAGGCGACGAUCGGUAGCUGGUCUGAGAGGAUGAUCAGCCACACUGGGACUGAGACACGGCCCAGACUCCUACGGGAGGCAGCAGUGGGGAAUUUUGGACAAUGGGGGAAACCCUGAUCCAGCCAUGCCGCGUGAGUGAAGAAGGCCUUCGGGUUGUAAAGCUCUUUUGGCCGGAAAGAAAGGGUUCGGGUGAACAAUCCGGAUCUUUGACGGUACCGGCAGAAUAAGCACCGGCUAACUACGUGCCAGCAGCCGCGGUAAUACGUAGGGUGCGAGCGUUAAUCGGAAUUACUGGGCGUAAAGCGUGCGUAGGCGGUUCUCCAAGUCCGUUGUGAAAUCCCCGGGCUUAAACUGGGAAUGGCAGUGGAA